AGUCGUAACAAGGUUUCCGUAGGUGAACCUGCGGAAGGAUCAUUACCGAGUGCGGGUCUUUAUGGCCCAACCUCCCACCCGUGACUAUUGUACCUUGUUGCUUCGGCGGGCCCGCCAGCGUUGCUGGCCGCCGGGGGGCGACUCGCCCCCGGGCCCGUGCCCGCCGGAGACCCCAACAUGAACCCUGUUCUGAAAGCUUGCAGUCUGAGUGUGAUUCUUUGCAAUCAGUUAAAACUUUCAACAAUGGAUCUCUUGGUUCCGGCAUCGAUGAAGAACGCAGCGAAAUGCGAUAACUAAUGUGAAUUGCAGAAUUCAGUGAAUCAUCGAGUCUUUGAACGCACAUUGCGCCCCCUGGUAUUCCGGGGGGCAUGCCUGUCCGAGCGUCAUUGCUGCCCUCAAGCCCGGCUUGUGUGUUGGGCCCUCGUCCCCCGGCUCCCGGGGGACGGGCCCGAAAGGCAGCGGCGGCACCGCGUCCGGUCCUCGAGCGUAUGGGGCUUCGUCUUCCGCUCCGUAGGCCCGGCCGGCGCCCGCCGACGCAUUUAUUUGCAACUUGUUUUUUUCCAGGUUGACCUCGGAUCAGGUAGGGAUACCCGCUGAACUUAAGCAUAUCAAUAAGCGGAGGA
rnacentral:misc_RNA from 1 species